rnacentral:rRNA from 1 species
AGUGAACGCUGGCGGUAGGCCUAACACAUGCAAGUCGAACGGCAGCACAGUAAGAGCUUGCUCUUACGGGUGGCGAGUGGCGGACGGGUGAGGAAUACAUCGGAAUCUACUUUUUCGUGGGGGAUAACGUAGGGAAACUUACGCUAAUACCGCAUACGACCUACGGGUGAAAGCAGGGGAUCUUCGGACCUUGCGCGAUUGAAUGAGCCGAUGUCGGAUUAGCUAGUUGGCGGGGUAAAGGCCCACCAAGGCGAGGAUCCGUAGCUGGUCUGAGAGGAUGGUCAGCCACACUGGAACUGAGACACGGUCCAGACUCCUACGGGAGGCAGCAGUGGGGAAUAUGGGACAAUGGGCGCAAGCCUGAUCCAGCCAUACCGAGUGGGUGAAGAAGGCCUUCGGGUUGUAAAGCCCUUUUGUUGGGAAAGAAAAGCAGCAGGUUAAUACCCCGCUGUUCUGACGGUACCCAAAGAAUAAGCACCGGCUAACUUCGUG